UGAGUCUCAAGGUGUCUUUCCGGUGAUGCUGUUCGUGUGUAAUAAGGAGUGGGCAUGGGGCUUUCUGCUCCGUCCUCUCAGCAAAUACAACAAAGCUGCAUGGGGCCGGUCAGGCUGAGCGGCCUCUGGGAGGUGUAUGGUACGUGGUUCUGGGCACCUGAGGCCCUGCCAAGCCCAGCAUCUUGGAAAAAUGACUUGCUUUUAGACUCACGUUUGAUUUGAGCAAAACCUUUCCUUGAGCACACCUGGCAUUCAUCUUGAAUUCCCUGCAGAUUCGCCAAGGAAGUCUAGCUAAUGAAUGCUGAAAGCUGAAAGCUAUGACACUGUUAUGACUAAAUUAACACCCUGAAAGGAAUAAGGAAAGAGUGUGUGCUUGGCCUGACGCUGCUUGCCGGCAGGGCAGUCUUCCCCAGGCAGUGGGCUGGCGCCGACAGGAAAGCUGCAGGAGGGUCCAGAGGCCGUGGCCCUAUGGGUCUCUGGCUUGCGGUUCAAAGAUGUUGAAGGCAUGUGGUACAGUGGACAGGACCAGGUCUCACCCUUCUUCCCUAGAGAAGAGUGGCUUCUCCGAAAUUUCAGAGAAAUCAGCGACAGAGUUCAUUCGAAGCUACAGCUCCUGGCGCCGAUUUCCGUCAAUUCCCAGCGCUCCUGCAGAGGAUUGCGACGGAGCAAAUGGCCGCUGGGUGGAGAGGCCGCGGGAGUGGGCGGCGGCGACGGUGCCACAGCACCCGGGAAGGAAGGACGACCCGCAGGCCGGUGCGCGACAGGACCCUGCGCCCCCCGCGCCCCCCGCGCCCCCCGCGUCCCCCGCGUCCCCCGCGCCCGGGUCUCAGUCGCACGAGGCGCAGCCGCCG
rnacentral:lncRNA from 1 species